UGGAUAAGUGCCUUUUUUUUGAGGCAAUGAUUGUCUUUUUCAUAAUAACAUAAACCAUCAAAGAGAAAUUCCAAAUCCAUCAGACUAAAUAAUGUUUCAUACAUUAUACAUGAAGUGAUCUGUGAACAUUCUAUGUUAAGUUAAUGUGAUUCAUGCAGUAACAUUUAAUGUUUGUUUUUGUAUAUAAGUAUUUAGCGAAAGGGUUACUGUGUUCCAGGUAAGACAGUAGAUAGUGAUAGUGAGAGGGUUACUGUGUUCCAGGUGAGACAGUAGAUAGUGAUAGUGAGAGGGUUACUGUGUUCCAGGUGAGACAGUAGAUAGUGAUAGUGAGAGGGUUACUGUGUUCCAGGUGAGACAGUAGAUAGUGAGAGGGUUACUGUGUUCCAGGUCAGACAGGACAAAAAGGAGACCCUGGAGUUGAUGGCCAGACUGGAGCCAAGGGAGAAGCAGGGGAACCAGGAUUCGAAGGGGAUUCACCUUACUCCUACUGACCCCAAACCUUAAGAUCAAUCUAAACCCCAAUAGGAAAUGUGACAUAAUUACUGAUCUUUCAUGUCAUAACAAUGCAUUUAGUAGUCUGUGGUUCUUAUUAAUGCUCAUAUCCACUGGCAAACAGAGUUCUCUUGUAGUUCUACCACUAAUGAUCUCCAUACAGUACAUCAACUCAAUAAUAAGUCACUGUUUCAGGUGAAGAUGGUACCACUGGGCAACAAGGACCAGCUGGAACACCAGGUAGACCCAGUAGUACUAACAUGGAACCAGUCCAGUAGUACUAACAUGGAAUACAACUCAAGCUGUGGCGUUAUGAGAAAAUGGUGGAUAAGUUGACUGUUUACCAUGGCAGUUACCCAUGCAUCAACACUAACUUUAAUCAGCUCCUUGGUGGACAGGUAGGACCGUGAUAUUAGUGUGUUCUUUUAGUCUGAGAGACAGAGGCUAGAUUAAUUAUUGACAGUGUCACAUGGGCCAGUUCUACAGGUGGAGCUGGAUGAUUUAGUGUUAGGGACAUUGAAUAUUACCCCCUCUCUCACCCCAUCCAUCACAGAGGAAACGUGCGUCGUGUACUUGAUGUCCCAAAGCCAGUCCAAAUAAAGUAUGCUUUGAUACAUAUUUGAUUAGCUGAACUUGCUCCGGGACUUUGCAUUUUUUUAAUUGCUUAAAAAACUAGCCCUGACUCUUGAAAAGUUUUAGGGAGGGGGGAGGUGUUAAUGAAUUUAAAAAUAGUGUAGGAUGAAUGGUUAAAACUGCUGCUGCCCAGGCAGAGACUCUUCUUUUUCUCUCAGUAGGCUGAUGAUCACAAGGCCCUAUUCUCUUACGCCCUGGAAUAAGUAGAAGAUGGACUCAAACUCCCCUUUUUAGUUAACAGAGUCAUAAAUAAUGCCCAAUAAUGUUUGGACCCUGUUUUGUGUUGCUACCAUGUCGUGCUGCUGCCAUGUUGUGUUGCUACCAUGUUGUUGUCAUGAUUUGUUGCUACCAUGUCGUGCUGCUGCCAUGUUGUGUUACUACCAUGUUGUUGUCAUGUUGUGUUGCUACCAUGUCGUGCUGCUGCCAUGUUGUGUUGGUACCAUGUUGUUGUCAUGUUGUGUUGCUACCAUGCUGUGUUGUCAUGUGUUGCUGCCAUGCUAUGUUAAUGUCUUAGGUCUCUCUUUAUGUAGUGUCGUGUUAUUUCUCUUGUCGUGAUGUGUGUUUUGUCCAUUAUUUGUAUUUAUUUUUAAUCCCAGCCCCCGUCCCCGCAGGAGGCCUUUUGCCGUUUUGGUAGGCCAUCAUUGUAAAUAAGAAUUUAUUCUUAACUGACUUGCCUAGUUAAAUAAAGAUUAAAUAAAUAAAAAAUGCAUUAAAAUAAAAAUAAAAUUUCCCUCAUCAUGACUGGCUCAAGUGUUGUAACAUUUCCAGGCAUAGUUCCACAUUUCUGUCACAGCUGUCGUGGAAGAGAGAAUGGGACCAAGGCGCAGCGGGUUGCGUGCUCAACAUAUUUAUUAAAUAAAAUGAGAACACCACGGAAAAACAAUAAACAAACUAACGACAGGAACAGAGCCGCAGGCUCAACAAAAGCAGUGCUCUCAAACAACUACCCACAAGUGACAAACAAAAACACACACCUAUUUAUAGGACUCCCAAUCAGAGGCAACUAGAAACACCUGCCUCCAAUUGAGAGUCCAGCACCCAACCUACACAUAGAAAAACUAACCUAGAAUAUACACAUAGAAAUACAAACAUAGACCAGUGACCAAAAACCCCGUAAUACAUAAAUAAACUACCCUCUGCCACAUCCUGACCAAACUACAAUAACAAAAUAUCCUCUAUACUGGUCAGGACGUGACAAUUUCAGCCUUCUCAGUUUCUGUUCCGGUUGUCACAGUAAUAUACAGAAACGACAUAUGUACGAUCUUAAUUUGAGCCAGUUCACAACAGCAGGAAAAUAAUCCUGCAGAAACAGGAAAUGUGAAUUAUUAUGUGGAUUAUAAUUAAUGGACAUUAUUUGUAGGGGUUGAUACAUUUUUCUUGAGGGGAAA
rnacentral:lncRNA from 1 species